GUUUCUCUCUCUCCCUCUCCCUUCCUCUCUGAAAUCAAUAAAAAUAUAUUUUUUAAAAAAGAUAAUGGCAACAGCAGACCCUGAGGUCCAUUGGGUGUGGCCUAGGGCUGAGAGGUGGGAAGCCUGGAAGAGCUGUCUGGACCUGAUGCGGUGGCGGCAGCCCCCCCGCCCCCGACCCCCCCAAUAGGAGCCAGGGUGGGAUGGACGCACAGCAAUGCCUGGAGAGGAUGACUCUGCAGAGCUGGCUGGAAGGAAUGGAGGGGUGGCCUGCAGAUAGCAGGGGCCACCCCAGGGGAGCCUAGUCCUCCUGGACACAGAGGAGGGGGUGGCGGGGAAGCAGAGGUGGGAUCUCCAGGCUGUGGUGGAGGUUGCCUUUGAGGGAGAAAGGACAGGGAAGGACGAGCACAUUCAUUGUUGCUUUGAAA